GAGAACUUGAGGAUUCAUAAAGUCUACAGAGUCGUCUAUAAAAAUCUGUUGGGGGAGUUUGGCUCUGAGAAAAUCCUCCAACAGGCCGUGUCGACUCAGGACUCUUCAUUUGAUAGGAUUCUUGUCAAGUCUUUGAGUGAAGCGCUUCUCCACAGAUGUAAUGAGUCAUUGAGGGCAGCCUCAAGAACAUCAGUCAAAACCACCGGGCCUAAGGCUCUUCCACUGGCUGAGGAUGUGAGGGCUAGCAGGGGGAAAUGAUCUUUUCUACAAAGGCUGGUCAGGCUGACAGGCAACUUAAAGGUACAGCAAACGUAUUUAAAUGAACAGUUGUGGGAGAUAAUGUGAGUAAACAAUGCUAUUCAGUGUAAAAAAUAUAAAACCAUCCAUUCAUUCCAAAACCAAUCAUAAAUGUUGUUGUGCUGGUGUGGUAGGUGUGAUUGUUAUCAUCAUGAGGUUGUUCAGCUGUGACAUUUCUUUAAACAUGUUUUUCUCUUUAAAUACUUAGCUAUUCAAGAAGGGGAACAAGAAGGAUUCCCACCGCUCUGAAUCAGAACAAGUACAGACCACUGCUGAAGAUGGCAUGCUGCCCAGCAUAGUGCCACAUGCUGCCAUGUCUGCACUGCCAAAGGAUCUCCCCGCCAGCUCCCAACAGGAGACGCCUCACAAACGUCCACUUCUCGUCAGGAUGUUUUCUGCCAUCUCCAAAGGCCUGUUCAAGCCCUUCAAACAGUCCUUAAAGACCAAGUAACUUAAGACAAUUUAUUAAACGUCAUUCAUUGCAUUAAA